AUUGAACGCUGGCGGCAGGCCUAACACAUGCAAGUCGAGCGGCAGCGACCUAACUGAACCUUUCGGGGAACGUUAAGGGCGGCGAGCGGCGGACGGGUGAGUAAUGCCUGGGAAUAUGCCCUGAUGUGGGGGAUAACUAUUGGAAACGAUAGCUAAUACCGCAUAAUCUCUUCGGAGCAAAGAGGGGGACCUUCGGGCCUCUUGCGUCAGGAUUAGCCCAGGUGGGAUUAGCUUGUUGGUGAGGUAAUGGCUCACCAAGGCAACGAUCCCUAGCUGGUCUGAGAGGAUGAUCAGCCACACUGGAACUGAGACACGGUCCAGACUCCUACGGGAGGCGGCAGUGGGGAAUAUUGCACAAUGGGGGAAACCCUGAUGCAGCCAUGCCGCGUGUGUGAAGAAGGCCUUCGGGUUGUAAAGCACUUUCAGUAGGGAGGAAGGUAGUGUAGUUAACACCUGCACUAUUUGACGUUACCUACAGAAGAAGCACCGGCUAACUCCGUGCCAGCAGCCGCGGUAAUACGGAGGGUGCGAGCGUUAAUCGGAAUUACUGGGCGUAAAGCGCAUGCAGGCGGCCUGUUAAGUCAGAUGUGAAAGCCCGGGGCUUAACCUCGGAAUUGCAUUUGAAACUGGCAGGCUAGAGUCUUGUAGAGGGGGGUAGAAUUUCAGGUGUAGCGGUGAAAUGCGUAGAGAUCUGAAGGAAUACCAGUGGCGAAGGCGGCCCCCUGGACAAAGACUGACGCUCAGAUGCGAAAGCGUGGGGAGCAAACAGG
rnacentral:rRNA from 1 species